rnacentral:rRNA from 1 species
UACGAAGGGGGCUAGCGUUGCUCGGAAUCACUGGGCGUAAAGCGCACGUAGGCGGAUUGCUAAGUCAGGGGUGAAAUCCUGGAGCUCAACUCCAGAACUGCCCUUGAUACUGGCGGUCUCGAGUCCGGGAGAGGUGAGUGGAACUGCGAGUGUAGAGGUGAAAAUUCGUAGAUAUUCGCAAGAACACCAGUGGCGAAAGGCGGCUCACUGGCCCGAUACUGACGCUGAUGCACGAAAGCUAGGGGAGCAAAACAGG